CAAAACUGAAAAGUGAAAGAAGAAAACAGCAAAGUUAGUUGACAUUUAUAUGGCAGCGGAAGAGCGGUUUGACAACAUGGUGUCUGACAUGUAAGUGGGUAUGAAGCAAAGGUGAGUCAUUUAAUUCCUCCACACAGAAAUAAUUGCACCCAUUGAUAUUCACUGAAGUUUGCUGUACAUAUAUGGAGACCAAACAGUGGAUGUGAGCACAGCGAGGUGAUGACUGGCACAUUUCAGCAGCUGUGACAGCAGCAUGAAUUAUAAGCCAUAUUCCAGACAGCCAUAAAAAU
rnacentral:lncRNA from 1 species